CAGCAGACACAUUCCAGCCAAUCAGCAGCAGACCCUCCCUCCCAGACCCUUCCUCCUCCUGGACAGCAUCCAUUUUGAAGCUGCAUUCUUAGUGAGCUGUCCAGGAGGUGGGAGGGUCUGGGAGGGAGGGUCUGCUCCUGAUUGGCUGGAAUGUGUCUGCUG